UCCAGUUAUUGAGGCUCGCUCCUCUGCUUACGACUUGUAUGGAAGGGCCUUCCUCCCCCUCCUCCUCGAGAAUAACACAACAGUCCAUGUCAUUGUCUUCUAAGAACAAGUUCUUUACUGCUGCUAGUGCUUCCUCCUCACUGAUCCAUAAAUAAUAUCGGUCGGUUGGAAAGUCUGCUCUAAAUGUGGUAUUGGUUGUUCUAGCGGAUAGUAAGGAUCACGCCAUGGUGGCGACUUGUUGUUGAAUUUUUUCCCAGGUGUACUCAUAUCCUAGACUGAAAGUGGUGUCAUGUUUCUUGAGUUUUAUGGGCUUGAAGAUUCCUUGGAGGUUCUUGCCGAGUCCUUUGCCAGGUUCAUAUCCACUCCAAUUCAGUAUACUCUCGAUCUUGUUAUCCCACAAUUUGUCUUUGUCUACAACAUUUACUCAUUCAAUGUGAUUGUAAGUCAAACCACCCAGCAUCCUCCUUCCUUUGAUAGAUGGAAUAGUCUGGCGACUGUAUAUAGGGUUGCAACUGUCGCCAUGAAUGAUCACCUCCUAGUGAUUCCGUUCAAACUUUACCAACUGAUGCAUUGUUGAUGCUACGGCCCUAGCAGCACGAAUCGAUGGUUGUCCCAACAACAAAUUGUAAUAUUCUGGAACGUCUAUCACUUGGAAAUCAACAUCGAACCAAGUUGGACCCAUUUACAAACACAUACUAAUCUCCCCAAUGGUGGAAAUUUGGGUCGUCGAAAGCUUUCACACAGAUAGCUCUGUACUUUAUCUUGUGCAGUCCUUUACCCAACUUCUUGAGUGUUACCAGUGGAUAGAUAUUGAGACUGGAACCUCCAUCGAUCAGGAUUGUGGAGAUAAAAUAGUCAUCGCAUUGCAUGGUGAUGUGCAGUGCCUUGUUGUGCCCCAACCCUUCAGAUGGUAGCUCAACC
rnacentral:lncRNA from 1 species